rnacentral:rRNA from 1 species
CUCCGUAGGUGAACCUGCGGAGGGAUCAUUACACAAAUAUGAAGGCGGGCUGGAACCUCUCGGGGUUACAGCCUUGCUGAAUUAUUCACCCUUGUCUUUUGCGUACUUCUUGUUUCCUUGGUGGGUUCGCCCACCACUAGGACAAACAUAAACCUUUUGUAAUUGCAAUCAGCGUCAGUAACAAAUUAGUAAUUACAACUUUCAACAACGGAUCUCUUGGUUCUGGCAUCGAUGAAGAACGCAGCGAAAUGCGAUAAGUAGUGUGAAUUGCAGAAUUCAGUGAAUCAUCGAAUCUUUGAACGCACAUUGCGCCCUUUGGUAUUCCAAAGGGCAUGCCUGUUCGAGCGUCAUUUGUACCCUCAAGCUUUGCUUGGUGUUGGGCGUCUUGUCUCUAGCUUUGCUGGAGACUCGCCUUAUAGUAAUUGGCAGCCGGCCUACUGGUUUCGGAGCGCAGCACAAGUCGCACUCUCUAUCAGCAAAGGUCUAGCAUCCAUUAAGCCUUUUUUUCAACUUUUGACCUCGGAUCAGGUAGGGAUACCCGCUGAACUUAAGCA